rnacentral:tRNA from 1 species
UUAAUUGAAACCAAAAUUAGGUAAAUUAUUGUUAAUAAUUUUUAUGAAAAUAAAUUUUCCAAUUAAA